rnacentral:rRNA from 1 species
AUUGAACGCUGGCGGCAGGCCUAACACAUGCAAGUCGAGCGGAUGAAGGGAGCUUGCUCCUGGAUUCAGCGGCGGACGGGUGAGUAAUGCCUAGGAAUCUGCCUGGUAGUGGGGGAUAACGUCCGGAAACGGGCGCUAAUACCGCAUACGUCCUGAGGGAGAAAGUGGGGGAUCUUCGGACCUCACGCUAUCAGAUGAGCCUAGGUCGGAUUAGCUAGUUGGUGGGGUAAAGGCCUACCAAGGCGACGAUCCGUAACUGGUCUGAGAGGAUGAUCAGUCACACUGGAAAUGAGACACGGUCCAGACCCCCACGGGAAGCCGGAGUGGGGAAUAUUGGACCAUGGGCGAAAGCCUGAUCCAGCCAUGCCGCGUGUGUGAAGAAGGUCUUCGGAUUGUAAAGCACUUUAAGUUGGGAGGAAGGGCAGUAAGUUAAUACCUUGCUGUUUUGACGUUACCAACAGAAUAAGCACCGGCUAACUUCGUG